AGGUCAUGUUGAGGACAAUUCCUUAACAAACCUUUGUAGCGUUCCCAUGCCUCGUAAAGAGACUCACCCGGAAAUUACUCAAAAUCAGCUAUCGCCUUCUUGAGUUU